GAUGAACGCUGGCGGAGUGCCUAAUACAUGCAAGUCGAGCGGCAGCGCGAGUAGUUUACUACUUGGCGGCGAGCGGCGGACGGCUGAGUAACGCGUGGGAACAUGCCCCAAAGUGAGGAAUAACUGCCCGAAAGGGUAGCUAAUGCCGCAUAUGAUCUUCGGAUUAAAGGAUUUAUCCGCUUUGGGAGUGGCCUGCGUACGAUUAGAUAGUUGGUGAGGUAAUGGCUCACCAAGUCGACGAUCGUUAACUGGUUUGAGAGGAUGAUCAGUCAGACUGGAACUGAGACACGGUCCAGACUCCUACGGGAGGCAGCAGUAAGGAAUCUUCCACAAUGGACGAAAGCCUGAUGGAGCAACUCCGCGUGCAGGAUGAAGGCCUUCGGGUCGUAAACUGCUUUUAUGAGUGAAGAAUAUGACGGUAACUCAUGAAUAAGGGUCGGCUAACUACGUGCCAGCCGCCGCAGUAAAAC
rnacentral:rRNA from 1 species